UCGGAUAUGGUGUAAUGGUUAACAUUGCCGCCUCUCAUGAUUUGACGAGCGAUUCGUUGUCUCGCGGCAGCUCGGGGUUCGAUUCCCCGUAUCCGAA